rnacentral:tRNA from 1 species
CUAGAAAGGCAGGCCUUGACCCUACAACAUUUUAAUUAACAGCUAAAAACUCUAUCCAGUGAGCUUCUUUCUA